UGGAAAGAGACAUUAAUGGAACAUUGUUGUCUCAAGCAACUUGUGAGCUCUGUGAUGGAAAUGAAAACUCUUUUAUGGUAGUAAAUGCUUUAGGAGACAGGUGCGUCCGAUGUGAGCCAACAUUUGUUAAUACCAGCAGGUCCUGUGCAUGUUCAGAACCUAACAUUUUAACAGGGGGAUUAUGUUUCAGCAGCACAGGGAAUUUUCCUCUACGUAGAAUUUCAGCUGCACGUUAUGGAGAAGUUGGCAUGUCUUUAACUUCAGAAUGGUUUGCAAAGUAUUUGCAAUCAUCAGCAGCUGCAUGUUGGGUAUAUGCCAAUCUAACAUCUUGUCAAGCUCUUGGAAAUAUGUGUGUGAUGAACAUGAAUUCUUACGACUUUGCCACAUUUGAUGCAUGUGGACUAUUUCAGUUUAUCUUUGAAAAUACUGCUGGACUGAGCACUGUUCAUUCUAUUUCAUUUUGGAGACAGAAUCUUCCUUGGCUGUUUUAUGGAGACCAGUUAGGAUUAGCACCUCAAGUGCUCAGUUCUACCUCUCUUCCUACAAAUUUCAGUUUUAAAGGAGAAAACCAGAAUACAAAACUGAAGUUUGUUGCUGCUUCCUAUGAUAUAAGAGGAAAUUUUCUCAAGUGGCAAACUUUAGAAGGAGGUGUUUUACAGCUUUGUCCAGACACAGAGACAAGGCUAAAUGCUGCUUAUUCAUUUGGAACAACCUACCAACAAAAUUGUGAGAUUCCUAUCUCUAAGAUCUUAAUUGACUUUCCCACUCCUAUAUUUUAUGAUGUGUACCUUGAAUAUACUGAUGAAAAUCAACAUCAAUAUAUUUUGGCUGUGCCUGUGUUAAACCUAAAUCUUCAACAUAAUAAGAUAUUUGUGAACCAAG
rnacentral:circRNA from 1 species